rnacentral:rRNA from 1 species
AUUGAACGCUGGCGGCAGGCUUAACACAUGCAAGUCGAACGAGUGGCGGACGGGUGAGUAAUGUCUGGGAAACUGCCUGAUGGAGGGGGAUAACUACUGGAAACGGUAGCUAAUACCGCAUACCAUCAGAUGUGCCCCGAUGGGAUUAGCUAGUAGGUGGGGUAAUUGCUCACCUAGGCGACGAUCCCUAGCUGGUCUGAGAGGAUGACAAGCCAAACUGGAACUGAGAAACGGUCCAGACUCCUACGGGAGGCAGCAGUGGGGAAUAUUGCACAAUGGGCGCAAGCCUGAUGCAGCCAUGCCGCGUGUGUGAAGAAGGCCGUCGGGUUGUAAAGUACUUUCAGCGAGGAGGCGUUACUCGCAGAAGAAGCACCGGCUAACUCCGUGCCAGCCGCCGCGGUAAUAC